UCUCGGGCCGAGUUGACCACAUUGUUUACGCCGCCGGAAGUGCGUGACGGUCAACUGGCCCGUGUCAGGUAAAGAUCAACCCCGUGAACCGUGUAAGCGUCUCUUCACACCUGGUCGGCCGCGGCCCACACGUGUGUUAGACGUCCUCUGUUUUUAACGGAGCCAGUAAUCUCUACGUAAGUAGUGCCAGUUUCCUUAGUGCUCUGGGCUUUUAGCUAGGACACUAAGCCAGUAUAUUCUAUUGGACAUGUAUUCGACUGCUAUAUCAUCACCUUAUCCUGACCUGUUCAGCGACCCGUGGUGAUAUACAGUGACUUCCACAGUGAACCAUUCCACGUGCUCUAUAGCGAGAUGAAAAUCAAAGGUUUGUCCUAUCCAAAUAAAGAAAUAGUGAAAAGUGCCUGUAUAAAGUACUGCUCUAGGAAAAUGGUUGACUUCAGAAGUCAGACAAAGGCCAAGUUGCUCAUCAAAGAGGGUUUGGAUCCGGCAGAGAUGUCGUUAGGAGGAUUGGAAAACCAUAUGUUUAAGAAGUUUGGGGAGGCGAGGAAAUUAACAAUGUGCCUUGUAAGUAUCAGUGGUCAGUUUUGAGAGUUGGAAAAAUUACUAGUACAAAAUCUUCAAGAAACAUAUCCUCUGUAACCAACUUAAUGAAAUGAUACUUUAAAUGAUAAGAAUCAGAAUUGUUAUUAUUCAAGAACCAGAAUUAGAAACCACCAGUCAAGAUAUUGGCUUACUUGUGGCUUCCUUGGGAGGACUCAAACAAAGUAGUUAAUCAAAAAAUACCUUGAUCGUGAUCCUUUAAUUAAGAUUACAGGGCCCCUGGUCAAACGUCCAUGUGUUCUUUGAAAUGUUUUUAACAGCCAUAGAUUUUAGACAACUUUAAGGUUACAAGUGAGAGGUUAAGACCAAGUAAGCAAUAAAGGCCCAUGGGCCUCUUGUUGUCAUAAUGAAAUACAAUUUAUUGAUCAUGAAAUAUAUUUACAGUUUCAACUGUGUUUGACUCUAUAACCUUUGUUGGACCCAUUAUCAUUAUCACCGGAUAACUGUAAUCAAACACGUGCCAAAUUUCUAUGACGUCGACAACAAUACAUGUGGGCGAAGCUAUCCAAAUCCUCCAGUUUGAAUCACAAUAUAUAUAUAUGUCUUUGAAAAUUGUCUGCAAAUAAUAAAAAUUAAAAUUCUUUCCAUUCUUGCGGUGAUGUUUGUUCGUUUCUAUGCCGCCUUUCGACACUAAAAGCACUGAAGUGUUCCAGUUUUGGGACAUGAACAUUAACAUCGAUCAUAGUUUUUUUUCCAAAAGUACAACCUUGUAUCCAACUGUAAAGAAUGCGUGCGUGUGAACACACUUAAAAUAUCCUAGCUUGUACCAGAAUGAUGAUACGAGACCAAUAUAAAUUUCGAGGAUGUAUUUUAUUAUAUUUGACAAAACAAAUACAAAUGCGUACAUACACUUACAUAAAAAGCCUAUUGAAUGUACAAUAUACAAGAAUAAUAUAGCAUACAAUAAAUAGAGCAUGGACCAUAUAAAGUCAAAAAGUAUCAGACUCCAGCAGCUCUACAACUACAAAAAUCCUAUAACACUAUACAUCCGUUUAUCCCGACCCGUAAUACGCUUAAAGCUUAAUUACAAAAAUCCCUACAAAGCAGUUAUUUUCCUGACCAUCUCAUUCGAGACGUGCACAGGUUAUACAAAUAUUUAUCUACCCUUAGCAACAAUUAGUUUCCCUGUUAUCACAUUCCGUGAUAAACAGAGUUAUAUACAGAGAUAGUUUUAUCUAAAAUACUAAUUCACAAUUAUUUUCCAAGUUAUUGCAUUUCGCAAUAAACCAGGUUAUAAAAUUCAAAUAGUUUUACGCGACUAGCACAUUUACAAAGUUACUUUCCCAGUUAUUGCAUUUCGCAAUAAACAAGGUUAUAAAAACAAUAUUUAAGAAAAACCCUAGCCUACAUAAUUAUUUUCCUUGUUAUUGCAUUACGCAAUAAACAAUGUUAUAAAAUCUCCCCGGAUUACCCAACCCCAAACAAGAGCUCCUUUUUAUUCAAAAUUCAAAUAGUUGCCUCCCCUCUCUGUGUACUUUGUAAUUCUGAACCAGAAACCAUAACCCAUCUACUGUGGGAGUGUCAAGAAGUUCAAAAACUACUGGAUAGUCUAGAUUCAUUAAUGGAAGCUUUACUUAUACCAUUCUCAUUUAAUAAAAAAAGUUUUCUUUUUGGCCUCAUUCAUCAAAAUUUCAUUCCAAGUAAUCAAAUACAUUGCUAAUAGUAAGGGUGAAAAUGCUAAACGCAAAUUUGAAAAUGAAUGGAACAAAUGGAAUAGACUUAUAAUGCUGUAACUUGUAUAUUUUUUUUUUUUUUUUUUUAAGAAUAUCUCCAAAACAAUUGCUUGAAUAUAUUGCUUCUAACUUCUGUUUACUAGAUUAUGAAGGAGCCUUUCACAUAGCUGAUAACUCCAUAUUUGAAAAAAUAAUAUAAAUUAAAAAAUUAAAAACAAUUAUACAGUCUUCUAAGUUGCAUUUCUGCCAUCUCACCCUACCUUAAAUCUCUCUCUCUCUCUCUCUCUCUCUCUCAGUCAAUACCUUGUAGGAUACUGUCUAGGAUACAGAGUGAGUGAAUAAAGGCUUUUGAAAUAUUUUUUUUAUCUCAUU